rnacentral:misc_RNA from 1 species
UUUCCAUAGGUGAACCUGCGGAAGGAUCAUUAUUGUAUAACCGAGGUGCGAGGGCUGUCGCUGACCCGAAAGGUCGUGCACGCCCGAGUGCCCUCACACACAUCCAUCUCACCCCUAUGUGCACCACCGCGUGGGUCCCCCUUUGGCUUGUUCGGAGGGGGGCUUACGUUUUCACACAAACUUUGUAUGCAGUGUAGAAUGUAUUUUUAGUUUUUGCGAUCACGCAAUCAAUACAACUUUCAACAACGGAUCUCUUGGCUCUC